ACAUCACUUGCAGCCCAGUUGUUGUGGUUGCUGCUGAGCUGCUUGAAUGAUACCGUAUCCAGCCCACAGGCCUGGGGUUUGACACACGCUGUAGUACAUGAAUGUGUUCAGUCCAGAGUCGGUUCAUCGUCGCCUCCUAUCAAGUCUAAAAUGACGGUGUUCUUCCUGUGCUUAUUCAGAUGACAUACGUGUGGAGAAAAUCCAUCCUGAUGUUUGUGUCUCCGGCUCCGACCACAUCCACGCAGCAGCUGACGGGGAAGCUGAGGCAGUUGCUUAGUAACGGCGUACCGACCAAGUGAUGAAAAAUUUAGACUCGUGAUUCCUGGAAGUGUUGUGUGGAUGCAGAACAUGAGAAAUAGAUGAGACAAUGACGAGAAGAUGAGGAGUGAACGAAGGAGCGGCAGGAGCAUCGCACACAGAAGGAGAGAGAAAAAGGUCGACAUGAGCUUUGAAGAGGAACUGUACCUUGGGGUAUAACUCCGACAACCUCCUCCUGCACAAAAGCACUCUGUCAAAAACUUCCUCCAACGCUCGGCUUCUUCUCCUCACCCUGGAGGAUGUUCAGACCAGUCCAAGCUGAGCAGGAGCAGAGAGGUGGAACCUGGAGCUGAGGAGAACAAGGCUGGACGUGUCGUUCUGCUGACUCUACUUCUUGUGAAUAUACAGGAACUCCUUGUGGAGAGGAUAUGGAACUGCAGCUGACUCUGCUGACCUGGGUCUGUUGUUCUGAGCCUCGGAUCAGAAGGAGUUUAGUCAGAGUUUAAAAUCUCUUCUGUAAUGAGUGGGUCAGUGAGUCAGUCGGUCGGUCAGCUCUACCUGACGGCAGUAGAAGAGGAGAGAACCAGUUUGUUCUGCUGCUCAGCCUGACAGUGGAGAGAACAGACAGCAGGAGAAGAAGAUUUUCACACCUCUGACUCUCGCUGUGUUCAGCAUUCACACUGGGACCAGACUCAGCUGUGUGGAGAAAUGUGUGUGUGUGUGUGGUUAAAUAUGAACAUGUAGGUGAAAAGUGCUGAUGUCAGAAGAACAGAGAUUUAACAGUCGUCAGUCGUUGUCCACAGGCUGAGAAACAUCUAAUGACACAUUUGGUCUGAAUGGACUGAUUAAUCAUAACAAUCACAAUAAUCAUAAUAAUCAAAAUAAUCAUAAUCAUAAUAGUCAUAAUAGUCAUAACAGUCAUAAUAAGCAGCUGGUGUUAGCGUUGCUAGCUGCUCUGUGGUUCUUCUAAAGUUUUCUAACUUUCAGCUGUUUAGUACCAGGAUGGUGUUUGUUUUUGUUUUUUUGGACAGGAAGUUGAACAUUAGCAUAAAUAGAUACAGAUGGACACCUGCCAACCUGGAUGUUCCUCUGCUGCUGCUGCUGCUGCUGCUGCUGAAGCUGAAGACACAGUGAAGGACGGGAAAACGCAUACUGGACCAAAACCGUGCCCCGGCUGAUCAGAGCAGCCCUGAGGAAACCUGAUUUCUCCUGAAUAGAAAAGAGUUCCAUAUUCAUGAGGUUGGUGCAGACGCUGCUCAGGGAUCAGAGUCAUCAGAGUGGAGCUGCUCUUCUUCAACUUCUUCUUCUUCAGCACUUUCGCAACGAAGUCCUCUGAGUGAACCGGUGGGAGUUGAAGUACUUUCCUCCGAUCUCACACUGACGUCAGCAGAACCUCUGCCACAGAACUCCAUCAGGAUCAGGACUAAGAUCCAGUUCCACAUUGUUCUGAGAUCAGUCCUGACACACAGACUGGUCCCUGAGGGACUCCAUGGAUCUGUGUGUGUGUGUGUGUGUCUCCUCAGGUUCAGGAUAAUCUGAUGAUGUUCAUCCAAGACUGUAAUCCCACUAAUGGGAGUUUGAUUUCACUCAGACAAACUUCAGCAUCAGCAGCUACAGUAACCGCUGCUGCUGCUGCUGCUGCUGCUGCUGCUGUAUGGAUGAGCGCCUCCAUCCCUCAUUAGAACCCCCUGCUGUGAGGCUGGACGUCCACUAACUCUGCUUUAUUAGAGAAGUUCAGCAGACAGAACGACGUUCGUUAGCUCUGAGAUCUGAGACGUUGACUGUAGAAACUGGACUAUCACUGUGUGUGUGUGUGUGUGUGUGUGUGUGUGUGUGUAGGCAGGGACCUCCUGGUCAUGAUGGUGUUAGUGUGUGAGCGUAGGAUGUAAAAAGCACUCUGACACACACACACUCACUGUCAUCCUACAAAUAGCUCCUUCCAUCAUCCUAAAUCAGUCUGUUUCUCCUCUCACUGCGUCCUCUUUCUGACCAUUACU